rnacentral:rRNA from 1 species
AUUGAACGCUGGCGGCAGGCCUAACACAUGCAAGUCGAGCGGAGCGGCGGACGGGUGAGUAAUGCCUAGGAAUCUGCCUGGUAGUGGGGGAUAACGUCCGGAAACGGGCGCUAAUACCGCAUACUAUCAGAUGAGCCUCGGUGUGAUUAGCUAGUUGGUGGGGUAAAGGCCUACCAAGGCGACGAUCCGUAACUGGUCUGAGAGGAUGAUCAGUCACAUUUAAAGUGAGACACGGUCCAGACUCAUAAGUGAGGCAGCAGUGGGGAAUAUUGGACAAUGGGCGAACGCCUGAGCCAGCCAUGCCGCGUGUGAAGAAGGUCUUCGGACUGUAAAGCACUUUAAGUUGGGAGGCGUUACCAACAGAAUAAGCCCCGGCUAACUUCUUGCCAGCAGCCGCGGUAAUAC